CCACAGGGAAGCCACAGAGCUUCUCGAUCUGCUGCCAGCGGUGCAGCCGCUCCCUCAGGCACGCCGUCACCUCCGACAGGGCUUUCCUGAGGAACGCAGACCAAUGAGAUGGAGGCACGAUACAGACACUGUGUUUGCCAACUGUUAAACUGAAAGAGGCCGUCUGUGCUUUGAUUCGUCAGUUUGGGAUUUAAACACAAUAGAAUUCAGUGGCAGAACAGGGAUUAUAGAGGUUUGAUUACAUGAAAUAUAUCUAAUAUAAAACUUGGUCAUUGUUCUGACGGCUCAAGUAAAGAAUUUAAUCUUUGAAGAACAAAACAAACGUCUCUAUCACGUAAUCUGGUUUUUAAUGACACAAAUUCAGUUUAUUGUAAUAUUCAGCACAUUAAAUCAACAGUAGCACUAAAUAUGUGGCUGAUAAGUGCGUGAAUCCACCUUUAGUCACAUAUACAGAUAUUAUCACCUCUUUUGUUUGUUUUUCUGCAGGAUUACACAAAAACUACUGAGCUGAUUUCCUGGUGGAAGGAAAAGAAAAGUGGAUUGAACAACUGUGGGUGGAGAUCCGUGGUUCAAUAACACCCAGAGAAAGUUACCUCGUCUUUGGCGACGCACAGCUGAAGCUCCGCGUUCUGCUUCUUGAUGUUGUAGUAUUGAACCUCCACCUCGUGUGUGAGCUGCAGCCACUUCUGAAGAGCUUCUGGCACCGAGCGCUCCGAGUGCAUCUCCUUCUCCGCUCUCCUCAGGGCCUUUCGCACCUUCAGGGGAAACAGAGCACAUGUGCAGAGUUUCAGAUGACUGUGUUCUCACGCACCGGCUCUGCAGGUCUAAGAGGCUUUGCUCGGCGUGCUGCAGGCUUUCCAGAUCCUUCAUCAUCUGAGAGAUGUGCACCUUGCUGGACUUGUUUUGCACGUAGGCAAACCAGCAGCCCCCAACACCGAUCACUAUGGAAACCAUCAGGACGAAGUCUUUCAUCCAGUUAUGUUGUGGACCUGCAGCGAGAAGGAAGGGUUGGUUACAGAAAAAACACAUUUGUGAGGCUGGUAUUUGGAUUUAAUGAGUAGUGAUGGUUGUGUGUGUACUCACGGAGCGGAGGACCAAACAGCACCGCGUCGAGGGCCUUUAGGUUUAGUUUCUGUUUAUGCCGCUGGUCUAAUAUCUUCAGCUGCAUCGACAUAAACGACGGUUCAUUUGCUGCUAUUCUGAAAUAUGAAGAGAAACACGAAUCAGUACUGAAUACUGAGCAGUUAGUCACACUGGAUUUACCUUUCUACACUGAGACCUUAUCACUGACUGUUAUAUAACCCACAACAGUGAAAAGUAUUUUUAUAUAUAAUGACUUAAUAAUAUACUGUGCAUUAGUGCCAGGGUUAACAGAUGAAUAAUAUAUGAAGGGAUGUCCUCCAGGUUGUGGUGAGACCGUCACAGUUACAGAUUUAUGAGGCCAACUGCAGAUUUCCAUCAGUGGCACAAAAGUUUGCACAGCUGCAAUUCUUCAGCGUGGAUAUUUCAAUCAUUUGACUCCAGAUGUGAAUAUGCACAGCUGCAAUUUAUGUGGUUUGCAAAAGAGAGUUUACAUGUUAAACAUGAUGCAGUAGACUAGCUCUUUAGAAACUAGAUUUACACCCUGCAAGUACUUUUACUUUUAAUAGUUUAUUAAAGAAUACCCUGUUGUGAAAACUG